AUGAAUGGGCUCAAUGCGCAUAUAAAGGCUGGGGAGGAGCGAUCAGAAAGGAAUGGAAUUCCAGUCUCCCGCAGGUGGAGGCCAGCCCCGGGGCCGGCCCCGACCGGGAGGAGUAGGACUGGGGAGAGGGCAGAGGUGGGGCCCCGUGACUCUACCAGGAAGCUAGGGUCCAAGGACCAAGCAUUUCCCUGUCCCACCCUGAGAGCCGGAACCUUCGGCGCUGGUAAGUUGGCUUUGACUCUUGGAAGAGUAAGUAAGUGCCUUCUCUGCGGGGCGGGGCGGGGCUCCCUGGCUUCUCAGCCUCUGGGGAGGGGGCCUGCCGGACGGCUCGAGGAAGCGCCCCCUUCCUUCCCCGCCGGGAAACUCCAGGAAGAGGCUUGGAGUGGGAGGGACCGGGGCCGGCGGACUACACCCCCGGCUCUCCUAGAAACCAGCCGGCGACAUUCCGGGAGCCCCAGAGGCAGCCACCAGGCUGGUGGACCCCACAGGAGCCCCAGAGGACAGCAAGACCCCAGGGCGGAGCCAGGUGAGGGGCGCCCCCACCUUCCCCCUCCCCCUCCUCCGCGACUCUCCAGGCCUAACCCACCUCCCAUUCAUCCCCUGCAGCUGAGCCCACAGCCGCUGGUGGCCAGAGCCCUGGGGGAGGCCGGGCCCAAGACCCCACUGGAGCAGGUCACCCGGGAGCGGGACGAUGCCAUUGCCAAGAAGCUGGCAGUAGAAGCCGAGCUGGGCAUCUGCAGGGCCAAACUCCAAGCCUCGGAGAAGCAGUUGCUGGAGGUGGUGGCAGAGAAGCUGAAGCUGAUGGAGGAGAUCGAGGCCUGGAAGGUAGGGCAGGCCCUGGCUUCCCCCAGGGCGAGGAUUUCUGGUGGGGCUCUCUGCUCCCCUCCCAGCCCCGGCCUCCCCCAACCUCCGUCUCUUCCCCAGGAAGACAUGCAGGAGCUGAUCCGCCAACAGAUUCACAGGCAGCUGCAGAGAGAGGGCAGGGCCCCUGCCUCCGAGCCCAGAGCCCCCCGGGCUGGCCUGACCUCCCAUUUCUCCCAGUGGCAGUGGAGAUGGCGGAGGACUACAUUCUCUGCUUCCAACUCCACUGAAGACUCAGAGCCCUAAUCCUUUUUUGACUCCAUGACCUGUCCUGGGGAUUUGAUGGAUCCUUGACACUGAUUGCAGGACUAUGGGAUGCUUCUGACUGUCAAGAAGGCUGAUGCUCUGCCCUCCAGGCCCUAGUGGAUAAACCUCAUCUGCUACAACAUCUGGACCAUGGGCUAUGCUGAUUCCUCUCAUUCUGUUUCUGAUGAAGACCAAGGGGACCCAUCUAAACGGAGGCAGGAGAGCCUGCUGCUCAGUGCUCCUGGUCUCAGACUAGCUGGAAUCAUGGUUGCCUGGGCUCCUCCUUUGUUUCUGGGGCUUGAACUUGGAGUUAGCAGUCUCCCCAACUCCUUAUGCUUGUUGACCCUCCUCCGACCUGGGGGUGCCUACUAGUAGCCUGGGUAUUUGGCAAAGAAUCAAGCUGGUUCAUUCAAUAUUCAUUAAGUAAAUUAUGCUAUGUGCUGGGCAUACCAAGACAAAAUAAAAAGUCUGUCUGGCCUCA
ensembl:lncRNA